rnacentral:rRNA from 1 species
GACGAACGCUGGCGGCGUGCUUAACACAUGCAAGUCGAACGGUAAGGCCCCAGCUUGCUGGGGUACACGAGUGGCGAACGGGUGAGUAACACGUGGGUGACCUGCCCCGCACUUCGGGAUAAGCCUGGGAAACUGGGUCUAAUACCGGAUACGACCGUACCGUGAGGGUGUGGUGGAAAGUUUUUCGGUGUGGGAUGGGCCCGCGGCCUAUCAGCUUGUUGGUGGGGUAAUGGCCUACCAAGGCGGCGACGGGUAGCCGGCCUGAGAGGGUGGACGGCCACAUUGGGACUGAGACACGGCCCAGACUCCUACGGGAGGCAGCAGUGGGGAAUAUUGCACAAUGGGCGGAAGCCUGAUGCAGCGACGCCGCGUGGGGGAUGACGGCCUUCGGGUUGUAAACUCCUUUCACCAUCGACGAAGGUUUUCUGACGGUAGAUGGAGAAGAAGCACCGGCUAACUACGUG